rnacentral:lncRNA from 1 species
CUUUUGACCUUUAGAAAUAUUAUGGUUUUUGCAAAUUAAGGCUACGUUUAGUUAUACUAACAGUUAUCCCUAAGUGUUCAUUUGGUAUUUUUUAACGUUUAAUGUAGAUAAACAUAUCACUGGCACUUUUUUUUUAGUUCUGUUCUCUGCAAUUUCCUGUGGUGUUCUUAAAUGUGCUGAAGGAUCUUGAAAAGAAGUCAGACUAGUGACCACUCCACCUCAUGACUUUCUAAAAAAGACUUCUAAUAUGAUGAAGUUCAGCAUGAUGUUUGCAUAUGUCCUAAAGUCAUAAGUAGCUGAAACGUUAAGACAUUAGUUGAUCAUGUUGCUAUUCUGGCAUGAGAUUUGGCGCAAUUUUUUUGAGGAACAAGGGAGAGGAAUAUAAUGAGUGAUGUCCACAAGGAAAAAGGAGAAAAGCACAGAGGGAUCUGAGAUACCCACACACAUCACACAUGAAUGAUCACCAAAAGCUGUUAUCAUAGAGCACAGUCCCUGACAUCACACAGCAGCAGAGAUGGAUAACUGAAGAAUAAUCUACUCUGAACUGAAUCUGGCCAAAAACCCAAAGAAGGAGCAAAGGAAACCUAAGGGUACUAAAAGAUCCAUUUCAGAAACUAAAUAGGAAAUAACCUAUAUGGAAUUAAACCUUCAAAAUGCUGCUCAAGAUCUCCAAGGGGAUGACAGAUCUUGCCAGUGCAAAGCAUAUCAUUGCAGUCAUUGUCCAGAGGAGUGGUUCACAUAUUCCACCAAUUGUUAUUCCAUUGGUAAGAAAUUCAGAACUUGGGAUGAGAGUGUGAUGGCCUGUGCUUCCAAGAACUCUAAUC